rnacentral:rRNA from 1 species
GACGAACGCUGGCGGCGUGCCUAAUACAUGCAAGUCGAGCGGACGCUUUUGAAGCUUGCUUCAAAAGCGUUAGCGGCGGACGGGUGAGUAACACGUGGGCAACCUACCUUAUCGACUGGGAUAACUCCGGGAAACCGGGGCUAAUACCGGAUAACAUCUAGCACCUCCUGGUGCCGGAUUAAAUGAGGGCUUCUUGCUCUCACGAUGAUAUGGGCCCGCGGGCGCAUGAGCUAGUUGGAGAGGUAACGGCUCCCCAAGGCGACGAUGCGUAGCCGACCUGAGAGGGUGAUCGGCCACACUGGGACUGAGACACGGCCCAGACUCCUACGGGAGGCAGCAGUAGGGCAUCUUCCGCAAUGGACGAAAGUCUGACGGAGCAACGCCGCGUGAGUGAUGAAGGGUUUCGGCUCGUAAAGCUCUGUUAUGAGGGAAGAACACGUACCGUUCGAAUAGGGCGGUACCUUGACGGUACCUCAUCAGAAAGCCACGGCUAACUACGUGCCAGCAGCCGCCGUAAAAC